rnacentral:rRNA from 1 species
UACGGGGGGGGCAAGCGUUGUUCGGAAUUACUGGGCGUAAAGGGCUCGUAGGCGGCCAACUAAGUCAGACGUGAAAUCCCUCGGCUUAACCGGGGAACUGCGUCUGAUACUGGAUGGCUGGAGUUUGGGAGAGGGAUGCGGAAUUCCAGGUGUAGCGGUGAAAUGCGUAGAUAUCCGGAGGAACACCGGUGGCGAAGGCGGCUUCCUGGACCGACACUGACGCUGAGGCGCGAAAGCUAGGGGAGCAAACGGG